AUCGCUUCUCGGCCUUUUGGCUAAGAUCAAGUGUAGUAUCUGUUCUUAUCAGCCGCUUCUCGGCCUUUUGGCUAAGAGACAGUGAUCGAUUCUCGGUUGGGCGGAGCCUUCAGUCUUGUUUGUGGCUUUAGGCGUUUCUAACUGGGAAUACAUUUCGGACGGAGCAAUUUCGUUUGGAAAAAACAAAA